rfam:Oryza glumipatula chromosome 8, whole genome shotgun sequence.
UUUAAUUGCAAUUAUAGUUUUUUUUAUCCAACGUUUAACUGUCCGUUGUAUUUGAAUUUUUUUUUUAUGAUUAGUAUUUUAUUGUUAUUAGAUGAUAAAACAUGAUUAGUAUUUUAUGCGUAUCUUUUUUUUUUAUUUUUUUAUAAAAUUUUCAAAUAAGACGGACAGUCAAAUAUUGGAUAUAGAAACCACAACUACACUUAAA